rnacentral:tRNA from 1 species
UAUAAGGUGAUGUAUGAUGCAUUAAGAAUUUUGAUUUCUUAUGACUUAGUUAGUUACUAAGCUUUAUAG